AUACCAUGGUGGGGCACUUUCUUUGUAGUUCCUGAAUUCUUCUCAUGCCUCAUAGAGUGAAUCACCAUUCUUUUGAGUGAAGUUCUGAAUUUCACUCUUUAGUCU